rnacentral:rRNA from 1 species
GUAGAAAUAUGGCCUUCCCGCAAGGGACACUAGUAUAGGCGCUGCAUGGCUGUCGUCAGCUCGUGCCGUGAGGUGUUGGGUUAAGUCCCGCAACGAGCGCAACCCUGCACACAGUUACUACUCGCAAGAGAGGACUCUGUGUGGACUGCUCCGGAUAACGGAGAGGAAGGUGGGGAUGACGUCAAGUCCGCAUGGCCUUUAUGUCCAGGGCUACACACGUGUUACAAUGCAGGGCACAAACCGUUGCCAACCCGCGAGGGGGGGGCUAAUCGGAAAAAACUCUGCUCAGUUCGGAUUGCAGUCUGCAACUCGACUGCAUGAAGCCGGAAUCGCUAGUAAUGGCGUAUCAGAUCGACGCCGUGAAUACGUUCCCGGGCCUUGUACACACCGCCCGUCACAUCACGAAAGUGAGCUGUACUAGAAGUCGCCGCGCUGACCGCAAGGAGGCAGGCGCCCAAGGUAUGACUCAUGAUUGGGGUGAAGUCGUAACAAGGUAAGCGUAGAUGA